rnacentral:rRNA from 1 species
ACUCCUGCGGGAGGCAGCAGUGGGGAAUUUUACGCAAUGGGGGAAACCCUGACGUAGCGACACCGCGUGAGCGAAGAAGCCCUUUGGGGUGUAAAGCUCUGUCGGCUGGAACGAAAACAAUGACGGUACCAGCAGAGGAAGCAUCGGCUAACUACGUGCCAGCAGCCGCGGUACGACGUAGAAUGCGAGCGUUGUCCGGAUUUAUUGGGCGUAAAGAGUUCGUAGGUGGUUUGUUAAGUUUGGUGUUAAAGAUCGGGGCUCAACCCUGGGACUGCACUGAAUACUGGCAGACUCGAGUGUGGUAGAGGCUAGUGGAAUUCCCAGUGUAGCGGUGAAAUGCGUAGAUAUUGGGAAGAACACCGGUGGCGUAGGCGACUAGCUGGGCCAUAACUGACGCUGAGGAACGAAAGCCAGGGGAGCGAAUGGGAUUAGAAACCCUAGUAGUCC